AGUGAACGCUGGCGGUAGGCCUAACACAUGCAAGUCGAACGGCAGCACAGUAAGAGCUUGCUCUUACGGGUGGCGAGUGGUGGACGGGUGAGGAAUACAUCGGAAUCUACUUUUUCGUGGGGGAUAACGUAGGUAAACUUACGCUAAUACCGCAUACGACCUACGGUUGAAAGCAGGGGAUCUUCGGACCUUGCGCGAUUGAAUGAGCCGAUGUCGGAUUAGCUAGUUGGCGGGGUAAAGGCCCACCAAGGCGACGAUCCGUAGCUGGUCUGAGAGGAUGAUCGGCCACACUGGAACUGAGACACGGUCCAGACUCCUACGGGAGGCAGCAGUGGGGAAUAUUGGACAAUGGGCGCAAGCCUGAUCCAGCCAUACCGCGUGGGUGAAGAAGGCCUUCGGGUUGUAAAGCCCUUUUGUUGGGAAAGAAAAGCAGCAGGUUAAUACCCCGCUGUUCUGACGGUACCCAAAGAAUAAGCACCGGCUAACUUCGUG
rnacentral:rRNA from 1 species